rnacentral:rRNA from 1 species
CCUACGGUAGGCAGCAGUGAGGAAUAUUGGUCAAUGGGCGGAAGCCUGAACCCGCCAAGUCGCGUGAGGGAUUAAGGCCCUGCGGGUCGUAAACCUCUUUUGCCGGGGAGCAACGGGGUCCUUGCGAGGUCCCAAUGAGAGUACCCGGAGAAAAAGCAUCGGCUAACUCCGUCCCAGCAGCCGCGGUAAUACGGAGGAUGCGAGCGUUAUCCGGAUUUAUUGGGUUUAACGGGUGCGUAGGCGGGCUGUUAAGCCAGCGUUCAAAUUUUGGGGCUCAACCCCGGCCUGCCGUUGAAAUGGGCGGCCACGAGUGGGCGAGAAGUAUGCGGAAUGCGGGGUGUAGCGGUGAAAUGCAUAGAUAUCACGCAGAACUCCGAUUGCGAAGGCAGCAUACCGGCGCCCGACUGACGCUGAGGCACGAAAGCGUGGGUAUCGAACAGGAGUAGAUACCCUGGUAGUC